rnacentral:rRNA from 1 species
UACGUAGGGUGCAAGCGUUGUCCGGAAUUAUUGGGCGUAAAGAGCUCGUAGGCGGUCUGUCGCGUCGGAUGUGAAAAUCCAGGGCUCAACCCUGGACCUGCAUUCGAUACGGGCAGACUAGAGUUCGGCAGGGGAGACUGGAAUUCCUGGUGUAGCGGUGAAAUGCGCAGAUAUCAGGAGGAACACCAAUGGCGAAGGCAGCUCGCUGGGACGGUACUGACGCUGAGACGCGAAAGCGUGGGGAGCAAACAGG